CAAGUUUUCGAUAAGAGAUUGCAUAAUCUUCUAACAUCUAUCUAUACCAUGUUUCCAGAUAAGACCAAAGGAUAAGCUAUUACAAUAUUGAGGAGUUGUAUAACGGAAAUAAGAAUCAAGCUCAGAAACUCAUAAGAAACACAUUGGACCAAACAAGCCAUUGAUGGCACAAGGCAUUUGGACGAGUGGUGGUUUUUGACUUACCACAAUACAAUUACAGAUGAUGUAAAGUAAAUACAAAAGUGGGAGCAUCUCCACUAUACGCUGAUGUCAAUACAUCACCCGUCCUGAUGAACCCAAAAGUGAUUCCAUGCCUCCAGAGAUUUCUUUUGAUACGAAAA
rnacentral:lncRNA from 1 species